rfam:Aedes albopictus isolate Foshan contig119785, whole genome shotgun sequence.
UAGCCUAGUGGUUGAGGCUCUGGAUCGCCAAUCCGGAGACGGCGGGUUCGAUUCCCGU